UGGCGGCAAUCUUGGAUGGCGGAUCGGCUACAAAGUAACAACACUUGGUCAGCACCUCAUAAGGAACAUUCAUGCCAUGCUUGGUUUUAUUCCAUUCAGUGGUUCUCUAAAAGAAGUCAUUUGUAUGCAUUUCCCAUAGGGUCCUAUGUUAAACUAAGUCCCCUGCUGGCGGCCAUCUUGGAUGAUGGAUCUGCUACAAAGUAACAACACUUGGUCAGCACCUCAUAAGGAACAUUCAUGCAAUGUUUAGUUUUA
rnacentral:lncRNA from 1 species